GCCAUCUGGAAUAGUUCACUCGGUAGAGCAGGAGACAAUUAAUCUCAGAGUUGUGGGUUUGAACCCCACCUUGGGCA